rnacentral:rRNA from 1 species
AGUGAACGCUGGCGGUAUGCCUAACACAUGCAAGUCGAACGGCAGCACAGUAAGAUCUUGCUCUUACUGGUGGCGAGUGGCGGACGGUUAAGAAGUCCAUCGCAUCCACUUUUUCCUGGGGUAACAUCGGGGGAAACUUACCCUUACCCCACAAUAUUCCUAACGGCUUAAAUCAGGGGUCUUCGGCGCUUUUGCUGUUUCAUUUAGCUGGUUCCGAGUUGCAUUAGCUAGUUGGUAAGGUAAAGGCCUACCAAGGCGACGAUGCGUAGCUGACCGGAGAGGGUGAUCAGCCACACUGGAACUGAGACACGGUCCAGACUCCUACGGGAGGCAGCAGUGGGGAAUAUUGGACAAUGGGCGAAAGCCUGAUGGAGCCAUACCGCGUGGGUGAAGAAGGCCUUCGGGUUGUAAAGCCCUUUUGUUGGGAAAGAAAAGCAGCAGGUGAAACCCCCGCUGUUCUGACGGUACCCAAAGAAUAAGCACCGGCUAACUUCGUG